rnacentral:rRNA from 1 species
AACCUCCGCAAUGUGAGAAAUCGCGACGGGGGGAUCCCAAGUGCCAUUCUUAACGGGAUGGCUUUUCAUUAGUGUAAAGAGCUUUUGGAAUAAGAGCUGGGCAAGACCGGUGCCAGCCGCCGCGGUAACACCGGCAGCUCUAGUGGUAACAAUUUUUAUUGGGCCUAAAGCGUCCGUAGCCGGUUUAAUAAGUCUCUGGUGAAAUCCUGUAGCUUAACUGUGGGAAUUGCUGGAGAUACUAUUAGACUUGAGACCGGGAGAGGUUAGAGGUACUCCCAGGGUAGAGGUGAAAUUCUGUAAUCCUGGGAGGACCGCCUGUUGCGAAGGCGUCUAACUGGAACGGUUCUGACGGUGAGGGACGAAAGUUAGGGGCGCGAACCGGAUUAGAUACCCGGGUAGUCCUAACUGUAAACGAUGCGGACUUGGUGUUGGGGUGGCUUUGAGCUGCUCCAGUGCCGAAGGGAGCUGUUAAGUCCGCCGCCUGGGAGUACGGUCGCAAGACUGAAACUUAAAGGAAUU